rnacentral:rRNA from 1 species
AUGAGGACGAAAGUUGCUUUCUUUAACAGAGUGAAAUUUAGAGCAGGGAAUGGGCAAGGAACUAGAUUCUGGGAGGAUACCUGGUUAGGGGACACUCGAUUAGUGUUGCAGUAUCCAAGUUUAUAUAACAUUGCACAACGGAAAGAUGUUUCGGUUGCUUCAGUGUUACAGUCCAGUCCGCUCAAUAUUCAUUUUAGAUGGCCACUUGUAGGUCCACGUUGGGAUACAUGGUUGCAUCUCGUGCGUAGAUUAAUGGAUAUUAAUCUGUCGGAUGCCAAUGACACGAUAGUUUGGAAGUUAACGGUGUCAAGAGUCUUCACGGUUAAAACUAUGUAUAUGGAUUUAAUCAAUACCGGAGACAUCCCAAGGUCGGGCCAUAUUUGGAGGAUUAAAGUGUCGUUGAAAAUAAAAGUGUUUAUGUGGUUUGUUCAUAAAGGUGUCAUUUUAACCAAAGAUAACCUAGCCAAACGUAAUUGGGUAGGGAGUCCCCAUUGUUGCUUUUGUGAUCAAAAUGAAACAAUUGAACAUUUGUUUAUCAAAUGUCCACUUGCUAGGUUACUCUGGAGAACUAUUCAUGUGGCUUUUAAUGUCAAUCCGCCAACUUCAAUAUCACAAUUCUUUCAUAACUGGCUGAACGGGGUGAGACCUCAGACAGCAGCACAAAUCAGAGUCGGAGCAUGUGCGUUGCUUUGGGCUAUAUGGAAUUGUCGGAAUGACACAUGGCUUUUAACAGACAACACAUUACUGGUUUUUUGCAGGUCAUCUUCAGAGCGUCUACAUGGAUCCGUACGUGGUACUUGCUGA